GCCGGGUGUGGUGGCUCACGCCUGUAAUCCCAGCACUUUGGGAGGCCGAGGCAGGUGGAUCACCUGAGGUCGGGAGUUCGAGACCAGCCUGACCAACAUGGAGAAACCCUGUCUCCA
rfam:Pan troglodytes isolate Yerkes chimp pedigree #C0471 (Clint) chromosome 1, whole genome shotgun sequence.